rnacentral:rRNA from 1 species
UAAACUGAAGAGUUUGAUCAUGGCUCAGAUUGAACGCUGGCGGCAGGCCUAACACAUGCAAGUCGAGCGAGAAAGCC